AUGCUUUUCCUAAAGAUUAAGCCAUGCAUGCCUAAGACUAUGAGGAAGCAAUUCUCUCUGAAUCUGCGAACGGCUCCGCAAACCAGUUGUAAACCAUAGCAGUGUUCCGCCCGGCUUCAGCAAUGGAGUCGGGCAUUAUAUGGAUAACCGUGGUAAUUCUGAGGCGUAAUACAUGACACGACAUAACCUGGCGGGCUGGGGCAACCCGGACUUGCUGGGGGACGUGCGAUUCAGCAGUGCGUAGUAACAAAUAUCGGGAAUGAGCG
rnacentral:rRNA from 1 species